CGAGGAGGAGCCUGACGCCGUGGACUCCCAGGAGCGAGCCCGGCUGCCGGCUCCCCAGGCCCUGCUGGCUCGACUGCUGGUGGUGGCAGCAGCUCCUCACAAGAGCGGCGA